UACGGGGGGGGCAAGCGUUGUUCGGAAUUACUGGGCGUAGAGGGCUCGUAGGCGGCCAACUAAGUCAGACGUGAAAUCCCUCGGCUUAACCGGGGAACUGCGUCUGAUACUGGAUGGCUUGAGUUCGGGAGAGGGAUGCGGAAUUCCAGGUGUAGCGGUGAAAUGCGUAGAUAUCUGGAGGAACACCGGUGGCGAAGGCGGCAUCCUGGACCGACACUGACGCUGAGGAGCGAAAGCCAGGGGAGCAAACGGG
rnacentral:rRNA from 1 species